GAUUAGGCCACUAAGGGCACACGGCGGAUGACUUGGCGUCGAGAGGCGAUGAAGGACGUGGAAACCUGCGAUAAGCCCAGAGGAGUUGGUAAUCGAGCUGUGAUUCUGGGAUCUCCGAAUGGGGCAACCCAUCCCGACUUGUCGGGAUAUCGCGCGCUGAAUGCAUAGGCGUGCGAGGCAAACCCGGGGAACUGAAACAUCUAAGUACCCGGAGGAAAGGAAAGCAACAGCGACUCCGUGAGUAGCGGCGAGCGAAAGCGGAUCAGCCGACAGACCGAAUGAACGCGUUGGAAUGCGCGGCCUGAGAAGGUGAAAGCCCUGUAACUGCGAGUUGGCCAGUCAUAGAGUAGGUUCGGGCUCGUGAAACCCGGAUUGAACAUGGGGGGUCCACCCUCCAAGGCUAAGUACUCCUCGACGACCGAUAGUGAAUAAGUAAAGUGAUUGAAGGUUGACAAGCACCGCGAUGAGCGGAGUGAAAGAGUACCUGAAACCGUGUGCCUACAAGCGGUCGGAGCUGCAUUUCGAUGUGGUGACGGCGUGCUUUUUGCAUAAUGAGCCCGCGAGUUAGCCUUUGCGGCGAGCCUAAGGUCUACCGGACCGGAGGCGGAGCGAAAGCGAGUCUGAACAGGGCGUUCAGUCGCAGGGGCUAGACGCGAAACCCGUGUGAUCUACCCAUGGCCAGGUUGAAGGGGGGGUAAGACCCUCUGGAGGACCGAACACGUUAACGUUGAAAAGUUAUGUGAUGAGCUGUGGGGAGGAGUAAAAGUCUAAUCAAACCGGGAGAUAGCUCGUUCUCUCCGAAAUAACUUUAGGGUUAGCCUCAGGGUGCAACGAUCGGGGGUAGAGCUACUGGAUGAGUGGUGGGGGCUACCCGCCUACCCCAUUCAACCAAACUCCGAAUACCGAUCGCCAAGUCCUGGGAGAUAGCCCACGAGUGACAAUAUCCGUGGACAAAAGGAGAAGAAUCCAGAUCGCCGGCUAAGGCCCCAGAUCUGUGCUUAGUUCGAAAGGAAGUCAGACUGCCGUGACAGCCAGGAUGUUGGCUUAGAAGCAGCCAUCAUUUAAAGAGUGCGUAACAGCUCACUGGUCGAGGAGUUUGGCGCCGAUAAUGAUCGGGAAUAAGCAGAGAGCCGAAGCUGCGGGCUCCAACUUUUGUUGGAGCGGUAGGAGAGCGUUCUUGUCGGCUGUGAAGCGAUCCUGUAAAGGUUCGUGGAGCGUCAGGAAGUGAAGAUGCGGGCUUGAGUAACGAUAAACAAGGUGAGAAUCCUUGUCGCCGAAAACCCAAGGUUUCCUGGGGAAGGUAAAUCCGCCCAGGGUUAGUCGGGACCUAAGGCGAGGCCGAAAGGCGUAGUCGAUGGACAGCUGGCUAAUAUUCCAGCACCCUCGCCGCGAUCAAACCACAGUGCGGAUUCCCCCGCUCGACUGGGCGACCAGUUGUGCCCAGGCCUUCAAGGCCGUUGUCGGGGUCGGGAGUUCCUAGAAAAGCUGUGGGGGCAACGCGAGGCCCGUACCAAAACUGACACAGGUGGGUGAGGCGAAUAGCCUCAGGCGCUCGAGAGAACGGUCGUGAAGGAACUAGGCAAAUUAACCCCGUACGUUCGCAAUAAGGGGGCCCUCCUCGCAAGAGAGGGCGCAGAGAAAAGGCUCUGGCAACUGUUUAUCAAAAACACAGCACUGUGCUAACUCGCAAGAGGAUGUAUACAGUGUGACGCUUGCCCAAUGCCGGAAUGUCACGGAAGCGGGUUAGCUUCGGCGAAGCUCGUGACCUAAGCACCGGUCAAUGGCGGCCGUAACUAUGACGGUCCUAAGGUAGCGAAGUUCCUUGUCGGGUAAGUUCCGACGCGCAUGAAUAGCGUAAUGACUGGAGCACUGUCUCCACGACCGACUCGGUGAAAUAGUAGUGGCGGUGAAGAUGCCGCCUACCCGCAGCAAGACGGAAAGACCCCGUGGACCUUUACUGCAGGCUUCUAUUGGUCACGAGCAUAUACCGCGUAGCAUAGGUGGGAGGCUUUGAAGUCCCGAUUUCGGUCGGGAUGGAGCCACAGGUGAAAUACCACCCUUUAUACGUUUGUGGCCUAACCUCGAUUCCCGUGAAUCCGGGCGAGGGACAGUGGGUGCUGGGCAGUUUGACUGGGGCGGUCUCCUCCUAAAGAGUAACGGAGGAGCGCAAUGGUUGGUUCAGCACGGAUGGAAACCGUGUUCCGAGUGUAAAGGCACAAGCCAGCUUUACUGCGAGUCCGACGGGACGAGCAGUUACGAAAGUAGGCCUUAGUGAUCCUGCGAUCGCGUGUGGAAGCGUCGUAGCUCAACGGAUAAAAGGUACCCCGGGGAUAACAGGCUUAUCGCACCCGAGCGUCCAUAGCGGCGGUGCGGUUUGGCACCUCGAUGUCGGCUCAUCACAUCCUGGGGCUGUAGGCGGUCCCAAGGGUUCGGCUGUUCGCCGAUUAAAGUGGUACGCGAGCUGGGUUCAGACCGGCGUGAGCCAGGUCGGUCCCUAUCUACCGUGGGCGUAGGAAUUUUGAAGGAGAUGUUUCCUUAGUACGAGAGGAUUAGGAAGCACUGACCUCUGGUGUACCGGUUGUUCCGCUAGGGGCACCGCCGGGUAGCUAAGUCGGGAAAGGAUAACCGCUGAAAGCAUCUAAGCGGGAAGCCCACUCCAAGAUUAGAAUUCCAUGGACUUAGGUCCGAGAGAGCCCAGAUAGACUAUCUGGUUGAUAGGCCGGGUGUGUAAGCAGCGAAAUCUGUUCAGCUAACCGGUACUAACGCUCGAUAACUUGACCAU
rnacentral:rRNA from 1 species